rnacentral:rRNA from 1 species
UACGAAGGGGGCUAGCGUUGCUCGGAAUCACUGGGCGUAAAGGGUGCGUAGGCGGGUCUUUAAGUCAGGGGUGAAAUCCUGGAGCUCAACUCCAGAACUGCCUUUGAUACUGAAGAUCUUGAGUUCGGGAGAGGUGAGUGGAACUGCGAGUGUAGAGGUGGAAUUCGUAGAUAUUCGCAAGAACACCAGUGGCGAAGGCGGCCCUCUGGACCAGCACUGACGCUGAGGCACGAAAGCGUGGGGAGCAAACAGG